rnacentral:rRNA from 1 species
AACGAACGCUGGCGGCAGGCCUAACACAUGCAAGUCGAACGAAGUCUUCGGACUUAGUGGCGCACGGGUGAGUAACACGUGGGAAUAUACCUUACGCUGGGGGAUAACAUCGGGAAACUGAUGCUAAUACCGCAUACGCCCUUCGGGGGAAAGAUUUAUCGGCGAAAGAUUAGCCCGCGUCCGAUUAGCUAGUUGGUGAGGUAAUGGCUCACCAGGGCUCCGAUCGGUAGCUGGUCUGAGAGGAUGACCAGCCACACUGGGACUGAGACACGGCCCAGACUCCUACGGGAGGCAGCAGUGGGGAAUAUUGGACAAUGGGCGCAAGCCUGAUCCAGCCAUGCCGCGUGAGUGAUGAAGGCCUUAGGGUUGUAAAGCUCUUUCACCCACGACGAUGAUGACGGUAGUGGGAGAAGAAGCCCCGGCUAACUUCGUG